UUGCAAGCCUCCAGCGAGCCUGAGUCUGGAGCAGCCUUGUGCAUUCCUGCCACGCUUGCAAGAGCAGUUUUGAGAUGGUUUGAGGCCUUGCUCCCCACCACCUACAGAGUAGGGUUAUAGACGUUUCAGACAAUU